UACGUAGGGUGCGAGCGUUAAUCGGAAUUACUGGGCGUAAAGCGUGCGUAGGCGGUUCUCCAAGUCCGUUGUGAAAGCCCCGGGCUCAACCUGGGAAUGGCAGUGGAAACUAGGGGACUUGAAUCUGGCAGAGGGGGGUGGAAUGCCGCGGUGUAGCAGUGAAAUGCGUAGAGAUGCGGCGGAACGACCGAUGGCGAAGGC
rnacentral:rRNA from 1 species